rnacentral:rRNA from 1 species
UUGUCUAAAUUUUUUAUUUAUUAAUUUUUUUUUUAUUAAAUUAAUAUUUUAUUAAAAAUAAUUUUAAAUUUUUUAUUUUUAGUAUAAUUUAUAAAAAAAAUAUUUAUAAUUAUAGUUUAUUUUUAUAGAAAUAGAAAAUUUAAAUAACUUGAAAAAUUAAUUUUUAAAAAGAAAAAUUAAUUUUUUGUACCUUGUGUUUCAUGAUUAAUUAAUUAAAAAUUAAAUAUUUAAUUUUCUCGAAUUAAAAAGAUCUAAUUAUAAAUGUUUUUUUGUUUAAAAAAAAUUAUUAAUUUAUAAUUAGAAAUUAAAAGUUAUUCGUUUUUUAAUAUAUCUAGUUUUUUAAGAAAUAAAUUAAAUUUAUUAUUUUAAAUUAUUUUAUAUUUAAAAAUUUAAUUAAUUUUAAAAUUUAAAUAUAAUUAGGGAUGAGCUUAAUUAUAAAUUUUUAUAAUUUUUUUUAUUUUAGUUAAAAAAUAUAAUCUUAAAAAUAGAUAUUUUUAAAAAUUAUGUUAUAAUUUAUUUUUAAAAAAUUUAUAAUAUUUUAAAGUUUAAAAAAAUUUAAUUUUUUAUUAAAAUAAAUUUUUUAAUUAAAAAUUAAUUUAAAUUAUGAUUAAAUUAGUAAAAUAAAAAAAUUAAUUUAAAAAUUAAUUUUAAAUAAAUAAAAAUUUUUUUAAGAAUUCAGCAAAAUUAAUUAUUUAAAUGUUUAUCAAAAACAUUGUUUUAUUUUUUUUUUAUUUUUAAGAUAUAACCUGCCCAAUGAAUAAAAUUUUUAAUGGCCGCAGUAUUUUGACUGUGCAAAGGUAGCAUAAUCAUUAGUCUUUUAAUUGAAGACUUGUAUGAAUGGUUGAAUAAGAUAGUUUCUAUUUUAAAAAAUUUUUUUGAAUUUUAUUUUUUUGUAAAAAAUCAAAAAUAAAAUUUAAAGACGAUAAGACCCUAUGAAGCUUUAUAUUUAAAAAAUUUAAUAUUUAUUAGAAUUUUUAUUAUUUUAUAUUUUUAAAUAUUUUAUUGGGGUGAUAAUAAAAUUCUUAAACUUUUAUUUUUAAAAUUUAAUUAUAAUUAAAAAAAUUUUAAAAUGAUCCAAUAUUUGAUUAAAAAUUUAAGUUACUCUAGGGAUAACAGCGUUAUUUUUUUAAAGAGUUCAAAUCGAUAAAAAAUAUUGCGACCUCGAUGUUGGACUAAGAGUAAAUUUAAAUGCAGAAGUUUAAGUUUUUAGUCUGUUCGACUAUUUAAUUCUUACGUGAUCUGAGUUCAAACCGGUUUAAGCCAGGUUGGUUUCUAUCUUAAAUAAUAAAUAUUAUUUUAGUACGAAAGGACCAAAUAUUAAAUUUUAAAAUUUUUAAAAAAGAACAUUUUUAAUUUUAAGCAAAAAUUAUUUUAUUUUAAUAGUUUUUAAUUAUUAUUAUUAUUUGUUAUUAAAUUAUUUAAUUUAAUUAAUAAAUUUUAUAA